UACCAGCACCCCGAGUGGUCGGGACGUUUUAUUGGGUCUAAAGCAUCCGUAGCCGGUUCUACAAGUCUUCCGUUAAAUCCAGCUGCUUAACAGAUGGGCUGCGGAAGAUACUAUGGAGCUAGGAGGCGGGAGAGGCAAGCGGUACUCGAUGGGUAGGGGUAAAAUCCGUUGAUCCAUUGAAGACCACCAGUGGCGAAGGCGGCUUGCCAGAACGCGCUCGACGGUGAGGGAUGAAAGCUGGGGGAGCAACCGG
rnacentral:rRNA from 1 species